CCGCCGGCGGGAGUCUGGGUGCGGGGGGCGGGCCGGGCCGCGCCCCUCGGCGUUCCGGAACCUGGUCCUGCGGAGCAGGGCGGGGCUGUCCGGGCUCGGGCCACGCGGCAGUGCCAGAAACGCGCUGGCUCCGUACGGACUGUUUCCGUUCUGUGCCUCCGACUCCUGUGAAACAAUCACGUCUAUGCAGCUCUGUGUUGGAGUUUGCCAGCGCGAGCGCUCCGAAUGCUGAGGCCACUAUUCCUGGGAGGCAGUCACAGCCAGAGCGUGGUAGAUGUCUGAAGAGCGUUAGAACCAUCUGCGUCCCUGCUGCAGACCAGGAGGUGCCCUUAACUACUGCCGGUCCCAGAGUGCCGACCCAGCUGCCGCUUGGAGCAUCAAGAUAUUUAAUUAUCUGACCUUACAUGAAGUCCAGAGUUAACUAAGAGCUACUUCUACUCAGUGUGUAACUGGCCCCAUUGGACAAAUUUCAAUGACCCAUAUAUAUAUAUAUACAUACACACAUACAUAUAUAUAUAUUUUUUUUU